UACGGAGGGUGCAAGCGUUGCUCGGAAUUAUUGGGCGUAAAGGGUAGGUAGGUGGUCUCAUUUGUCUGGGGUGAAAGCCUUGAGCUUAACUCAAGAAGUGCCCCAGAAACGGUGAGACUGGAGUCCUGGAGAGGGUCGCGGAAUUCCCGGUGUAGCGGUGAAAUGCGUAGAGAUCGGGAGGAACACCAGAGGCGAAAGCGGCGACCUGGACAGGCACUGACACUCAACUACGAAAGCGUGGGGAGCAAACAGG
rnacentral:rRNA from 1 species